CUUGAUCGAGCCGAGCAACAGCGGCUUCCCGUCAGGGCGAUCCUGACCGUAAGUGGCCAGCAGCGCCUGCGCCUC
rfam:Streptomyces violaceusniger Tu 4113, complete genome.